rnacentral:rRNA from 1 species
UACAGGGGGUGCAAGCGUUAAUCGGAAUUACUGGGCGUAAAGCGUGCGUAGACGGUUACGUAAGUCAGAUGUGAAAGCCCCGGGCUCAACCUGGGAAUUGCAUUUGAGACUGCGUAGCUAGGGUGCGGAAGAGGGAAGCGGAAUUUCCGGUGUAGCGGUGAAAUGCGUAGAUAUCGGAAGGAACACCAGUGGCGAAAGCGGCUUCCUGGUCCAGCACCGACGUUCAGGCACGAAAGCGUGGGGAGCAAACAGG